GAUGAACGCUGGCGGCGUGCUAAUACAUGCAAGUCGAGCGAACGGACGAGAAGCUUGCUUCUCUGAUGUUAGCGGCGGACGGGUGAGUAACACGUGGAUAACCUACCUAUAAGACUGGGAUAACUUCGGGAAACCGGAGCUAAUACCGGAUGAUAUUUUGAACCGCCUGGUUCAAAAGUGAAAGACGGUCUUGCUGUCACUUAUAGAUGGAUCCGCGCUGCAUUAGCUAGUUGGUAAGGUAACGGCUUACCAAGGCAACGAUGCAUAGCCGACCUGAGAGGGUGAUCGGCCACACUGGAACUGAGACACGGUCCAGACUCCUACGGGAGGCAGCAGUAGGGAAUCUUCCGCAAUGGGCGAAAGCCUGACGGAGCAACGCCGCGUGAGUGAUGAAGGUCUUCGGAUCGUAAAACUCUGUUAUUAGGGAAGAACAUAUGUGUAAGUAACUGUGCACAUCUUGACGGUACCUAAUCAGAAAGCCACGGCUAACUACGUG
rnacentral:rRNA from 1 species